AAUGAGAAGAAAUAUAUUUUAUAUAAUUUUUAUUUUGGCUAUUCAGCGAAAUGGAACUUCAUUAGCAACUCCCCCUAAUGAAAUUGAGACUUGUAUAUUGAAUCGGGAACUAGAACAACAAUGCGGAUUGUAUACACAUAAGGUUCUCAAGCCAUUGCUAGACUAUAUUCGACAAAUUAAGGAUGAAUUAAU